UUCCAAAGGAAAGAAAACAAAUCGUCAACCAAAAUGGAUUAAUUGUUUGUGUGCCAAACAAGUUGGAGCUACCGAAUGCGGGUAUUAUGUGAUGAAGUACAUGUUUGAAAUUCUUUCCAAAGAAGCAUACGAAGGAAUGGAUAAGGCAAGUAAUUUAAGAAAAUACAUUUCUCAUUCAAAUUUUAAAAAUACUAGCUUAAAUUAGCUUACUAAUUAUUAUUUAUUACUUUUCAACAUUAUUAUAGAUAGUGGAGAAAGUUGGUUCAUUGAGCUACAAUCAACAAGAGAUUGAUGAAGUUAGAGACACAUGGGCCAAAUACUUCAUUGAUGAAUGGAUUAAUACAUUGCAUUAGUAUGUGAAAUAGUAAUGUGAGAUGUAUGUAUUGCUUUUAUUGCUUUUGGUACAAAGUUUGGGAGAAGAUUAUGGCUUGUAUUAAUUAAUAUAGAUAAUUUUUGAU